rnacentral:rRNA from 1 species
CCUACGGGUGGCAGCAGUGAGGAAUAUUGGUCAAUGGGCGAGAGCCUGAACCAGCCAAGUCGCGUGAGGGAGUACUGCCCUAUGGGUUGUAAACCUCUUUUGUCGGGGGGCAAAAGCCGGACGUGUCCGGCUGUGAGAGUACCCGAAGAAAAAGCAUCGGCUAACUCCGUGCCAGCAGCCGCGGUAAUACGGAGGAUGCGAGCGUUAUCCGGGUUUAUUGGGUUUAAAGGGUGCGCAGGCGGAUUUUUAAGUCAGCGGUAAAAUCGUGGGGCUCAACCCCAUCCAGCCGUUGAAACUGGGGAUCUAGAGUGUGCGAGAGGUAUGCGGAAUGCGUGGUGUAGCGGUGAAAUGCAUAGAUAUCACGCAGAACCCCGAUUGCGAAGGCAGCAUACCGGUGCACAACUGACGCUCAGGCACGAAAGCGUGGGUAUCGAACAGGAUUAGAUACCCUUGUAGUC